GUAGCAAUGAAUUUCAACUCAUUAGUGGGGACAAGGACUAUCUCAUAGUGCGUGAUCUCAACGUGGAUGCAGAUGGCAAGGAGACAGAACUGGUGGGAUUAUUAGGCGCAGGAGGUAAUGUUGAUCCGAAACACGAAGAGGAGUUCAGGAAUGCGGUGAGAGAAAAAGGGAUUCCAGAAGAAAAUAUCCAGAAUUUUAUCGAUCAUGAUGACUGUCCAGAGGAGAGAAAACUAGUGACUGUGGUCGUUUAGUGAGUCACUGAGACCAGACACGUCCUCGUCUCCGUGGAAUCAAGAUCAACAACACAAAGACGACUUUCCUGGUUCCUGAUUAACAUGAUCCUGCUCUCUUCACGCUCACAAUCCCUCUCCCAUCUCAUCUCUCCUCGUCACUAAAUCAUGUCCUCACUGGUGUUAUUUGAUUGCGGAGGGUUUAAAUAAAUUGAUUUAAUAUCU